GAAUAGAAAUGUAUUUCUUGUAUAAUAGCUUUAAUAUGGUAAGCAAGUCUCUACCCUAAAACCGACUAAAUUUUAGGACUACAAGAAUAAAAGUUUAU
rnacentral:ncRNA from 1 species